CUGGCUCAGGAUGAACGCUAGCUACAGGCUUAACACAUGCAAGUCGAGGGGUAGCAGGGUAGCAAUACCGCUGACGACCGGCGCACGGGUGAGUAACACGUAUCCAACCUUCCCAUAACUCAGGGAUAGCCUUUCGAAAGAAAGAUUAAUACCUGAUGGUACCUUUUUCUGGGCAUCCAGUUAAGGUUAAAGAUUUAUCGGUUAUGGAUGGGGAUGCGUUCCAUUAGAUUGUUGGUGAGGUAACGGCUCACCAAGUCUUCGAUGGAUAGGGGUUCUGAGAGGAAGGUCCCCCACAUUGGUACUGAGACACGGACCAAACUCCUACGGGAGGCAGCAGUGAGGAAUAUUGGUCAAUGGGCGAGAGCCUGAACCAGCCAAGUAGCGUGAAAAGGAUGAAGGUCCUAUGGAUUGUAAACUUCUUUUAUAACAGGAUAAAGUGAGCCACGUGUGGUUUUUUGUAUGUAUGUUAUGAAUAAGGAUCGGCUAACUCCGUGCCAGCCGCCGC
rnacentral:rRNA from 1 species